GCGGUGGUGACAAAUCCCACCGGCUUGCAGCGCCGUGGUAGCUCAGGGGUAGAGCAACUGAUUCGUAAUCAGUAG
rnacentral:tRNA from 1 species